UACGUAGGGGGCAAGCGUUGUCCGGAUUUAUUGGGCGUAAAGAGCGUGUAGGCGGCCAUACAGGUCCGUUGUGAAAACUGGAGGCUUAACCUCCAGACGUCGAUGGAAACCGUAUGGCUAGAGUCCGGAAGAGGAGAGUGGAAUUCCUGGUGUAGCGGUGAAAUGCGCAGAUAUCAGGAAGAACACCCGUGGCGAAAGCGGCUCUCUGGGACGGUACUGACGCUGAGACGCGAAAGCGUGGGAGCGAACAGG
rnacentral:rRNA from 1 species